rnacentral:rRNA from 1 species
CCUACGGGAGGCAGCAGUGAGGAAUAUUGGGCAAUGGGCGCGAGCCUGACCCAGCCACGUAGCGUGAGGGAUGACUGCCCUCCGGGUUGUAACCUUCUUUUAUAGAGGAGUAAAGUGAGGCACGUUUGCCUUUUUGCAUGUACUUUAUGAAUAAAGAUCGGCUAACUCCGUGCCAGCCGCCGCGGUGAUACGGAGGAUCCGAGCGUUAUCCGGAUUUAUUGGGUUUAAAGGGAGCGUAGACGGGUUGUUAAGUCAGUUGUGAAGGUUUGCGGCUCAACCGUAAAACUGCAAUUGAUACUGGCAGUCUUGAGUACAGGUGAGGUAGGCGGAAUUCGUGGUGUAGGAGUGAAAUGCUUAGAUAUCACGAAGAACUCCGAUGGCGAAGGCAGCUUACUAACCCGUCACUGACACUGAGGCUCGAAAGCGUGGGUAUCAAACAGGAUUAGAUACCCGGGUAGUC